CAUCCAGCAGGGAUCAUUGUGCUGAAGGAUUAUCAAGUACAGAGGAUUGCGGCUGACUGCCUUCAUUCGUUACUUCCACGAGAUGACUGAGGAGAGACCUGCGUGCAUCUGCAAGAUUACCACCUGAGCAGCACCUGGGAACGUUCCCUCAUAAAUUUUAACAGAGGUUCCUGUUUACUUUGAACAAAGUGGUACCUGGCAUGUCCUGCAGCACAGUCCGUUUGACUGGCAAACACACAAACCUCUGACUGGGAGCCAGCAGUAGACCAG
rnacentral:lncRNA from 1 species